rnacentral:rRNA from 1 species
CAGCAGCCGCGGGAAUACGAAGGGUGCAAGCGUUAAUCGGAAUUACUGGGCGUAAAGCGUGCGCAGGCGGUUAUAUAAGACAGUUGUGAAAUCCCCGGGCUCAACCUGGGAACUGCAUCUGUGACUGUAUAGCUAGAGUACGGUAGAGGGGGAUGGAAUUCCGCGUGUAGCAGUGAAAUGCGUAGAUAUGCGGAGGAACACCGAUGGCGAAGGCAAUCCCCUGGACCUGUACUGACGCUCAUGCACGAAAGCGUGGGGAGCAAACAGGAUUAGAGACCCCUGUAGUCCCUGUCUCUUAUAC